UACGAAGGGGGCUAGCGUUGUUCGGAAUUACUGGGCGUAAAGCGCACGUAGGCGGAUAUUUAAGUCAGGGGUGAAAUCCCAGAGCUCAACUCUGGAACUGCCUUUAAGACUGCAUCGCUAGAAUUGUGGAGAGGUGAGUGGAAUUCCGAGUGUAGAGGUGAAAUUCGUAGAUAUUCGGAAGAACACCAGUGGCGAAGGCGGCCUGCUGGGCAGUUGCUGACACUGAGGCGCGACAGCGUGGGGAGCAAACAGG
rnacentral:rRNA from 1 species